CAAUAAAUAGGAAUGAAACAAAAUCUGGUCGAAGUCUUCAUGUCGGCGAUGCUCGCACAAUGGCCACACCGUGAGCAAGUUCCAGCCGCCGGUUUGCUCCGUUUCACUUUCCUUUUCUGAUCAACCAAGAAACAGAAACAAACCAUUCUGAAUGAUCUUGAUCAAUUCUUCUUUGUCUUUAUUAAAGAUUCAGAUUUAGAGCAAUCAAGAACCAAAAACAAGAACGAAAACUCUUAUAAUAAGACACGGCCAGGUUUGGUAUCAGAGAAGAAUGUUCUCUGUGUCUUCUUCUUUUUGGUUCUUUUUAUAAUGUGGGUUUGAAGAUUUUAUGAGUUCUUGAAUUUUGUGGCUAUAAAUAAUUAAAUAAAGGACGAGGAAUUAGUUAAAAGUUAUAAGCCAUUCACUCGUGUGUGUGUGUGAGAGAGAGUUCACAAAGUAAAUGAAAGUGAAUAGUAUUUUUGAGAUUGGAGUCUUGGACGUACACACGUAUAACCCACACUAAGUAACCUGUCGUUCAAUACAACUACAAGAGUGAAUUAAGUACUUGUACAUAUGUUCAUUCUUAUACAAGUUUUCGUUAAUUUUACUGUUAAACAUGCACUAAUGCUUUACAUUAUACAUAACAUAGCAAUAAUUGUAAUUUGCUGUAUGAAAAUACAUAUUAGUUUUAUAGGGAAAAGAAAGGUACGUAGGUACAAGGUCUCUACCUUCCGGUAUUAAUGUCAUCACAAUGAAGUGUUUUUUUUUCCUUAGUGGCAAAGGCUUUGGGUGUCAUGAAGGAAGCGUGAGUAGCUUGACACAUGUACAAAACAGUUGGGUGUUGUGUUUGUCAUUGUCUCAUGACAAAACACCUCAAAAUUUUCCAAUGUUUUCUUAUUCAUGAUUGUAAUAUUUUUUUGUUAUAUUUUUUUCUCAUUUCACCAACAAUAUUUGCAUUUAUGAAUUCAUACUUUGAAUUAUAUAGUUUCGGUGACAAAACGGCAGCAGGCAGGUAUGGCUAUUUUUAUAUUGUUGAAUAGUAUAAAACAUUCAAUGUAGAUUGUUGAAAAUGGUAAGCCAAUACUAAAUUAAUUAAGAAUACAAAUUUUUAUAAACCAAGAUUUAAAAAGGUCUAUAUAUAUCUCUUAGCUAAUGUGGUUCAAGUUCGUAGUUAUGGAGAUGAUGUGAUUUUGAUUUGAUUUCUUGUACAAGUGUCUACAUCAUUAUAGUUGGGAAUAUAUCUUUUGGUGAUAUUUCAGUUUUGUGUGGCAAUAGUUAUAUUAGAAAAUGUUUAAUUUCAGUCUUUGUCCACCAUUUAAAAUCUACUGGUUAAGAUUAUUUCAUAUAUAAAAAAAUACCAUAAGCUAUUUAAUAAUGACGACAUUGGUUUUAUAAGAAUAUGGUUGCUUUCAGAGAGAAAAUCCAUAUCAUUCAUCAAAAUAUACAAAAAGGUUGAACCUAAUCAAAACAAUAUAUUAAUAACUAUACUGUUACAACCACUUGAUUUUACAUGUUUACUUUGAUCAUUCCACAAUCCAGCAUUACAUAAACCCUUUCGAUUAAGCUCCUAUUUAUAAAUUAGUCACUCACCUUAAAGUCAUGUGAGAAAAUAAUUCGAUAGGUGUAGGUUAG
rnacentral:lncRNA from 1 species